rnacentral:rRNA from 1 species
CCUACGGGAGGCAGCAGUGGGGAAUUUUGGACAAUGGGCGCAAGCCUGAUCCAGCCAUGCCGCGUGUCUGAAGAAGGCCUUCGGGUUGUAAAGGACUUUUGUCAGGGAAGAAAAGGCUGUUGCUAAUAUCAAUAGCUGAUGACGGUACCUGAAGAAUAAGCACCGGCUAACUACGUGCCAGCAGCCGCGGUAAUACGUAGGGUGCGAGCGUUAAUCGGAAUUACUGGGCGUAAAGCGAGCGCAGACGGUUACUUAAGCAGGAUGUGAAAUCCCCGGGCUCAACCUGGGAACUGCGUUCUGAACUGGGUGACUAGGGUGUGUCAGAGGGAGGUAGAAUUCCACGUGUAGCAGUGAAAUGCGUAGAGAUGUGGAGGAAUACCGAUGGCGAAGGCAGCCUCCUGGGAUAACACUGACGUUCAUGCUCGAAAGCGUGGGUAGCAAACAGGAUUAGAUACCCGGGUAGUC